AAAACGACUCUCGGCAACGGAUAUCUCGCUCUCGCAUCGAUGAAGAACGUAGCGAAAUGCGAUACUUGGUGUGAAUUGCAGAAUCCCGUGAACCAUCGAGUCUUUGAACGCAAGUUGCGCCCCAAGCCUUCUGGCCGAGGGCACGUCCGCCCUCGGGUGUCACAA
rnacentral:rRNA from 1 species